rnacentral:tRNA from 1 species
GUCCCUAUCGUCUAGUGGCCUAGGAUGCUACCCUUUCACGGUAGAGACACGGGUUCAAAUCCCGUUGGGGACGCCA